rnacentral:rRNA from 1 species
AGUGAACGCUGGCGGUAGGCCUAACACAUGCAAGUCGAACGGCAGCACAGUAAGAGCUUGCUCUUACGGGUGGCGAGUGGCGGACGGGUGAGGAAUACAUCGGAAUCUACUUUUUCGUGGGGGAUAACGUAGGGAAACUUACGCUAAUACCGCAUACGACCUACGGGUGAAAGCAGGGGAUCUUCGGAUCUUGCGCGAUUGAAUGAGCCGAUGUCGGAUUAGCUAGUUGGCGGGGUAAAGGCCCACCAAGGCGACGAUCCGUAGCUGGUCUGAGAGGAUGAACAGCCACACUGGAACUGAGACACGGUCCAGACUCCUACGGGAGGCAGCAGUGGGGAAUAUUGGACAAUGGGCGCAAGCCUGAUCCAGCCAUGCCGCGUGGGUGAAGAAGGCCUUCGGGUUGUAAAGCCCUUUUGUUGGGAAAGAAAAGCAGCAGGUUAAUACCCCGCUGUUCUGACGGUACCCAAAGAAUAAGCACCGGCUAACUUCGUG